GGUCUGCUUAGGCUGGCAGGCCCACUGGGUCCUUUGUUGCUACAACUUUUGUGAUCAGAUUUUAAGCAGAAAUAUGCUUCUGUAUUUGCCGAUGACACAGUGGCUGAUUACAUAUACCAUGUGAACGCACAAACAGCCAGCGGUGAGACGGCAUUUAAAAACAUGACAAUCCCAUACGCAUGGCCUCAGCACCCCAUGAUGAAUCGUGUGGAGAUGAUCAGUCCCUCUCUUCCCAUGACCUUCAUCUACGGAUCACGUUCCAACAUCGAUGGCCAAUCAGGAAAAGCCAUUCAAGAAAUGAGACCCAACUCACACACAGAAAUCAUAGUCAUUCAGGGUGCGGGUCACUACGUAUUCGCAGACCAAUCGGAUGACUUCAACCAGGCUGUGCUCAAGAUAUACAAUAAUGUCAAGCACAAUGGGAAGGAUGAAUGAGAGAGAGAGAAAAAUUAACAAAAAUUGCAAGGUGGAGAGGCUAUGUGAGCCCAAGUCAUGUACGUGACAGGAGGAUUAGAUGAAGGUGUGAAAUGAGAGACAGAGGAAGAAGAGAUAUAGAAAAUAUAAAGGAAAGAAAUAUUAAAACUUGCUCAUCAUUUAUAGCUUCCUGCAAGCGUGCUUUACAAAAUACCUAGGCCUAUGCAAAUAAUGCUUCUCGUGUAACAUCUGUUAUAUUACA